UUUGGUUAAUACAGUUGGUCCCUAUGCAGAAUAAAUUGUGAAUAAAUCGUGGUUUCUUGGCACAAUAUUCCACCGUUUCUCCGUCAGUUGUGUGUUCUGCUCAUACUUUUCCUUUGCUUUAUCUCCUAGUGCUGGGACACAACUACCCCUGAAUUUUCUGGUUAAAAGCAACAAGCGCAAGUGAAUGAGCCAAAAGUGUCGUACAAAAUCCUCUGGAUGUUUUUUCCAUUCACUGAAGCUGAUCCCUGUGCAGCCAAAUGUAAAGCCCAGAAGCCUCAGCAUGAAGGAAGAAACGAGACUUUUUGUUGUUGUUGGGCCUGGUGUUUAUAAAGAGGUUAUUGGUAUGCAUCUGAACCUGUUGCACUUGGUCAUAUGUUUCUUGGUUUAUCAUUUGCGUCUCCUCUCACCCGACCCAGGUGCAAUACACACCCAGAGAUUGCCUAUGACUAAGCAUGAAACGUGUUAGGCUCCAUGUGGGGAGUUUUUGAAAUUUUAAAAUGACUCAAUAAAAUCACAUCUUUUAUCUUUUAA